rfam:Diplodia seriata DS_831_scaffold_v01_13, whole genome shotgun sequence.
UUAUGUAAUUAAGUGGUGUUUACUUUAGUUACUGUCAGAAUGAACUUCUGGCUACAAACCAUCAAAUUGUCGGGAAGUCCCUAAAGCUGUUUCAACCAAAUAAGAAUGGUAACAUAUCUUAUGGCACAGGUAAUGACUCGUGGUACGGUAAAAUCGAUACAGAUUAUCAUAAUAUAUGAUAAAUGGGUAAUCCGCAACCAAGUACCUAUCAUCUUAGGUAUGCAGUUCAUCGACUAGAUGUUGGUUGGCUUUUUUUUUUAUUAGCUUAAGAUAUAGUCAAGCCCCACUCGAAAGAGUGCA